UACAGAGGGGGCAAGCGUUGUUCGGAAUUACUGGGCGUAAAGGGCGCGUAGGCGGCCCGCUAAGUCGAACGUGAAAUCCCCGGGCUCAACCCGGGAACUGCGUCCGAUACUGGUGGGCUCGAAUCCGGGAGAGGGAUGUGGAAUUCCAGGUGUAGCGGUGAAAUGCGUAGAUAUCUGGAGGAACACCGGUGGCGAAGGCGACAUCCUGGACCGGCAUUGACGCUGAGGCGCGAAAGCCAGGGGAGCAAACGGGAUUAGAUACCCCCGUAGUCC
rnacentral:rRNA from 1 species